UACGUAGGAGACGAGCGUUGUUCGGAGUUACUGGGCGUAAAGGGUGUGUAGGCGGUUGUUUAAGUUUGGUGUGAAAUCUCCCGGCUCAACUGGGAGGGUGCGCCGAAUACUGAAUGACUUGGAGUGCGGGAGAGGAGAGUGGAAUUCCUGGUGUAGCGGUGAAAUGCGUAGAUAUCAGGAGGAACACCGGUGGUGUAGACGGCUCUCUGGACCGUAACUGACGCUGAGACACGAAAAGCGUGGGUAGCAAACAGG
rnacentral:rRNA from 1 species